GUUUGAGCCCUGAGACUGAAGGAGUUCCUCAGGCUCCCAUGUCAGUCAGCUUCAACCUGGGUUCAGCCGAUGUGGGUGGCAGCAGAGAUUGGAGGGAAGAAGGGAGAAGUCACAGUAUUUCUUCCCUCCCUCUCUACCUGGCCUUGCCUCCAGCAGCCACUGCUUUUCCUCCAUGGCUCCAGCCCCCUCCAGACAAGCCCAUCAGGGACUCUGGGAACACCAACUCCUCUCUCUCUCUUCAGCCUCUGUGCAGCGAGGAGGCCGGGAAGCCGGCUGCCGCCGCCCCUCUCUUUCCAGCCCUGCGUCUGGGGAUGGCACGUCGGCGGAUUGACACCAGCUGUGGUGGGAGUAUUUACACCGCAGGAAUGAGCAAACCCUACCAAGCAAGGCCUGAUUCAUUGUUCCGUUGACCUGCGGCUGGCAAACUUUAUUCUGUAAAGGGCCAGAUGGUAAAUAGUUUCAGCUUUGCACCCCUCCAGUCUCUGGCUGACCUACUCAUCUCUGCCGCUGUAUUGCAGGGACAGACACAGACAAUAUGUAAAACCAACAGUCAGGCUGUGUUCCAAGAAAUUUUACUCACAAAAACAGAUGGGGGACCGGAUUUGGCCCACGGACCAUAGUUUGCUGAUCCCUAGUCAAGACUUUAAAAAAAUGAUGGAGAAAUGUUAAUAAUUCUGAUUAAAUUUUAAAAUGUGUCUAUCUCCAAUACAUUGCGAAUAGCACAAAAAAUUGAGGAAAUGUUCUUCUGAUAUUUGAAAGCUAUCAUCCAG
rnacentral:lncRNA from 1 species